rnacentral:rRNA from 1 species
GACGUAGGGGGCGAGCGUUGUCCGGAAUUACUGGGCGUAAAGAGCACGUAGGCGGGAACUUAAGUCAGGUGUGAAAGACCGUGGCUCAACCACGGGUAUGCAUUUGAAACUGGGUUUCUUGAGGGCAGGAGAGGAAAGCAGAAUUCCUGGUGUAGCGGUGAAAUGCGUAGAAAUCAGGAGGAAUACCAGUGGCGAAGGCGGCUUUCUGGACUGACCCUGACGCUGAGGUGCGAAAGCGUGGGUAGCAAACAGGAUUAGAUACCCCCGUAGUCCCUGAGCGGG